CGUUCAUUAGACGCCGUCCCUAUUUUUACACCUCCUGCUUCACAUCAGACCAUGGGUCGUCCUCAACCUGGAUAUGGAAUGCCUAGCAAUGCUUCAAGAAGGCUUGAUGAAACUAUGGCUACAGAAAUUGAGAGUUUGAGCUUGUCAAUCAUGGAGGCUAUGCAGAGUGUUCUGGAACUCCUAAGUGACAUGCUAUAGGCAGUAAAUCCUGGUGAUUCAGCGGUGUGAGCAAUGAAUUUUUUUCAUCUCUAUGAUCUAUGAUAUGAGCUACUUGUCCCCUUUUUUUAAUCUCUAUGAGCUACUUAUCCCUGAAACUUAAUGUGGUUCUUUUUCCAUUCUGCUCAGGCUGUAAAAGAUGAAGUGAUAGUUGAGCUUGUUAAUAGGUGCCGCACCAACCAGAAAAAGCUGAUGCAAAUGCUCACUUCAACUGGGUUGAUCUAGUGAAGGAUGGGGGACAUACAUAUUUCAUCAGGUUUCUUGAUAGCCAGGAAGCAUA